CCCUUAGAUGAUUUGGGCUGCACGCGCGCUACACUGACCCUAACAAUGAGCAACUGUCUGGCCUGAGAUGGCUGGGUAGCCUUUUCAACCCAUGUCAUGAUUGGGCUAGAUUUUUGUAAGUCUUGAUCUCUAACGAGGAAUCCCUAGUAUGCGUGAAUCAUCAAUCCAUGCAGAUUAUGUCCCUGCCCUUGUACACACCGCCCGUCGCUCCUACUGAUUGGGUGAUCCGGUGAGCUGUUCGGCCAUAGCAAUGUUUCUUGAGCAGGGCAAUGAAUGUUUCGCAAACCUUGCCACUUAGAGGAAGGAGAAGUCGUAACA
rnacentral:rRNA from 1 species